AUUGAACGCUGGCGGCAUGCUUUACACAUGCAAGUCGAACGGCAGCAUAGGUGCUUGCACCUGAUGGCGAGUGGCGAACGGGUGAGUAAUAUAUUGGAACGUACCGAGUAGUGGGGGAUAACUAAUCGAAAGAUUAGCUAAUACCGCAUACGCUUUGAGAAGGAAAGUAGGGGAUCGCAAGACCUUACGCUAUUUGAGCGGCCAAUAUCGGAUUAGCUAGUUGGUGGGGUAAGGGCCUACCAAGGCGACGAUCCGUAGCGGGUCUGAGAGGAUGAUCCGCCACAUUGGGACUGAGACACGGCCCAAACUCCUACGGGAGGCAGCAGUGGGGAAUUUUGGACAAUGGGGGCAACCCUGAUCCAGCCAUGCCGCGUGUCUGAAGAAGGCCUUCGGGUUGUAAAGGACUUUUGUUAGGGAAGAAAAGGGAUUGGUUAAUACCCAGUUCUGC
rnacentral:rRNA from 1 species